GACAAUUAUAAACAAGUGGUGCUUAAUGCAGUGGCAUUCUGGGGGUCCUUGUUGCCUUGGGAAGGCCUUUCUGAUGCAUCCCCCAAACCUGGCCAAGGCCAUUUGUGCUCUCUACACUAGCAGAGAUGAAAUUGUGAUUUAAAAACUGAAAUUUCAUCUCUUAAAGUUACCAGGAGCAGUGUUUUGCCUUCCUAGUAACUUGGGGGCUGCUGUAAUUGAAUAAUUCAACUUGUCUCAUGGCAUUAGAGCCCCUGGCUUAAUGAUGUCAUCAUUUCUGAUGCCAAGUCUUUUGUGACAUAUGACUCACUUCUGUGUGUUAAAAAAUAUGCUACAGCCUAUAGGGUUAUUUGGACAAUGCCUCAUACAAUGGGCAGGUUUUGCACCGUGCACACUGUGAGGGGCAUUGUGCCUAAGCCCUAUAAUCUGUAGCAUAUUUCUUAGCACACAGAAGUUUCAGUGAGUCAUAUGGACAUCACAUGACAACAGAAAUGACGACAUCAUUAAAUCUCCACUUAUUUAUGUUUAAACAUUAGCAGUUACAACACAAGAUCAUAGAGGAAAGUAAAUUGCUGGGAAUGAUGACUGUCAGGAAAGCGGCAAAUCUGGAGAGUUGCACAAACCGAGAUGAAGAAACAUUCUAUCCUGGUAUCUGCUGAUAUGGCAAGAAAUGUUAUCAGAUGGGCAUAUGUCUAAGAAGAUUUUCUUCUCCCAUUAAGGUGGGGAAACAAUCAUUUUCGGAGCUCUAUUUUUACCCAGGAGGACAGUGAGCAACCUAUCCUGAUUAUACAGGUAUAUGACCUGUUGCUCAGGGCGUGAAGUUUUCCUGAUAAGGGAUCUUUCUGUAUUUUGGAUCACCAUACAUUGUCUGCUUAGUGCUUGCAAGCCCCUUCAGGGUUGGACUGGGCCAAAUGGACAAAUGGAAAAAACUUGACGGGCCCUGCCAACCCAGACCUGCACCCUGCUGAAGACUGCAUGUUCUCGCUGUUCUCUCCCUGACCUCCCCUGAUUGUAGCUGACAGAAGUUAAAGAUACCCAAGGGGGUGGGAGGAGAGUAGUGCCUGGGGGGGCCUUGGGGUGUGUGUGGGCCCCUGAGGUGGUAGUCCCGGUGGGCCUUUGACCCCCAGUCCAACACAGACCCCUUGCCCCCCUGAUAUUAGUUUUUUUGUAUUAGAGAGGGUGGAGGUGGGCCAUAUUGCACUAGAGGAGCCACAAUUCUGAUUUAAAAAUUGGCAUUUCAUCUCUUGAAUUUACCAGGAGUGUUUUUUUCAGCCCCAGGUUACUUGCUCCUUCUGAGGCUCGACUCGACUCAUAACAGCAGUGCCUCUGAGUUUUGCCAAUAAUAUGGAGUCAUGCAGCUUAUCUUGCAUCAAGCACAAGGUACUUUUUUAUUAUUACAGAGAAAAUGAAAUCUUUUUUAAUAAUUAGAAUUAUUUGCUUAAAAUGGUCCUGUACUUCGGAGCUUUGGGUAUAAAGGGUUUCUGGAUAAGGGAUCCCAUACCUGUACUGCAACAACCCGAUGCUUUCCAUAUGUCUGGAGGGGGGCAGAGGAGAAAAGGACACAUGACAUCCCAAUCAUUCAACUACAUGGUUGCCUGUUGUGUUGUUUUUUGUGCAAUUACAGGAUCAUUAGAAAAGAAGAAUUGGCAACACAUUCUUUAUUGGCAGAAGACAAUUUCACUUGCAUAGCAUCGGGGUAUAAAAGGAUCAGCUGUACUUUGUUCCAUGUUUCUACUCUUUGUGAUCUAGUUAAUGAUCAGCUCUACAAUGCGUUAUAAUGUGAGACAGUAAUGGCAGGUGGCCCAUAGGACGGUUAGAAAAUUCAGAUGUAAAUAUAAACCACACUUGUUAUACAUUGAGCUUACAUUGAGGGUUUUUUGAGUUCUUUCUCAGAUAUGUGGAAUUUCUUUCUCAUGCUGAGUGAGUGCUAAGGAAAGGCUGUCUCAUGCAAAGAGAAAUGAAACCCCCGCUCCUGUUUAGAGAAAGAGAACAAUUUUCAUUGUGACUAGGCCAAUAUGCAGCUAUUGCUUCCUGCUAGCAAUUCUAUUUACAGGCAAGUGAGCAGAAUGCUAAUCCAGGACACACUGUGGUCAAGACAAUUACUGAUUUUCACCACAACUGUGAAUUUGCAAAUAUAUGUAGAACUGGAUAAGGUAUAAGUCAUUGCUAUAACAUUCUGGACCCAUGGAGAAGAGUUGUCUCAUUUACAGUAAAACUGCAGUUAUUAAUCCCAAUGGGGCUUCUAUCCUCCUGGGCCCCCCUUUAGCAGCUAAGUGAGGGUAAUAUUAGACUCACUCUCAGUGCUCUGUAUUCCUCUAGCAACUCUUUUUUUUCAUUCUGCCUUUAUUCCUUUUGUGUCUAGCCAUAAACACUCAAACUGAACUAAAGCAGAACCAGUGGCAUGGUUAGAAAUAACUGGGACCCACAACAAAAUGAUUUGAGGGCCCCCUAAAAUUUGGGAAUUAGAUAAAUCUCUUAAAUAUACACUGAAACUGCUUAUUAGUUAAGCCCCUAUACUUUUUGGCACCUCCCCCCCAGCUAGGGUUGCCACCUUUUUUAAAAAAUUUUACUGGCUGCUGGGGGGCGGGGACACAAAGGGGCGGGCCGUGAUGUCAAAAGGGGUGGGGCCGCGCCACGGACGCUUGAAGAAGUAAAGAAAAGGUCCUCUGAUAGUGAUCUUCCUGUCUCGCUUCCCAACUGCUGUCUGGCUGCAGGAGUGCUGUCAGUUCUGAAUUUGAUACAAUGCCUCCAUACUCCUCUAUACUUCAUACUUGCAUUUAGCAGUCAUGCCAAUAAACCAUAGUAUUUACUCUCAUGAUAUUGUCCUUGUCUUUAUACUUAUGUGUACAGUUACAGUUACAUUAUACCACACCUAUCCUAUGUAUGAGAACAUUGAGCAAAAGGGGUUCUGGUGGAAGAACACCUACUCUGCUUUAUACCUCCUCUACUAACUGACACCUUACUAUCCAAUGACUUCCUACAGUGACACACAGUCCCUCACUGACCACUGGGCAACUUCUACUGAGUUCUAUCCCUGUGCAGCAUUGCUCCGAGGCUCCCUUCCCUACAGUCACCAUGAUUAAAGGAUCAGUAAAUCUCGAAAUCUUGGGACAAUAACUGAACCCACGGCCACACCCGUGCUAUUCCCAUCGACUAUGAUGUGUUGCAAUCCACAAUACCCAGUGUUUUAUCAUCACAGUUUUUCUAUAGGGACAUUGCAGACACCUUGUGUCAUGUAAACAUUAAAACCUGGAUAAAACUUUGUUUUGUUUU